rnacentral:rRNA from 1 species
CCCUACAUCAGGUUAAGGGCCCUAAAUCCCGGUUAAAUGUUAAACAGAAUGGCGUCCAAUAGCACAAACAAUGAGGCGGUAAGCUUAGAAGCAGCUAUCCGUUAAAAAAAGCGUAACAGCUUACUCAUCGAGUUGUUGGGCCCAGAAAAUGGACGGGGCUAAACCGGGUCCCGAUACCUGAUUGAACUUCAUAAGAGUUUUAGGUAGGGGGGCGACCGGGUUGGGUAGAAGCUGGGGAGUGAUUCCCAGUGGACCGAUCUGGUUUGCAGAUCUCGGUGGUAGUAGGAGCAUAGUGAGGUGAGAAUCCUCACCGCCGGAAGCCCAAGGGUUCCUUGGCAAUGUUCGUCAGCCAAGGGUUAGUCGGUCCUAAGGUCGGUCUUAAAACGAGCCGAUCGAAAGGGGAACAGGUUCAUAUUCCUGUACCACGCAUAUAGACGCGGCGACGCAAGCUCUGAGCUAACGCUGGUGGGUAGGUGACCUAGGAGAAUAUCCUAGUUAAAUUUCGAAAUCUGGGGAGAACCGUU